GGCAACGUGGCAGAGUGGUUAACGCGAUUGACUAGAAAUCAAUUCCCUUCGGGGGCACAGGUUCGAAUCCUGUCGUUGUCG
rnacentral:tRNA from 1 species